GACGAACGCUGGCGGCGUGCUUAACACAUGCAAGUCGAACGGAAAGGCUCUGCUUUUGUGGGGUGCUCGAGUGGCGAACGGGUGAGUAACACGUGAGUAACCUGCCCUUGACUUUGGGAUAACUUCAGGAAACUGGGGCUAAUACCGGAUAGGAGCUCCUGCUGCAUGGUGGGGGUUGGAAAGUUUCGGCGGUUGGGGAUGGACUCGCGGCUUAUCAGCUUGUUGGUGGGGUAGUGGCUUACCAAGGCUUUGACGGGUAGCCGGCCUGAGAGGGUGACCGGCGACAUUGGGACUGAGAUACGGCCCAGAAUCGUACGGGAGGCAGCAGUGGGGAAUAUUGCACAAUGGGCGGAAGCCUGAUGCAGCAAAGCCGCGUGCGGGAUGACGGCCUUCGGGUUGUAAACCGCUUUCGCGUGUGACGAAGCGUGAGUGACGGUAAUGGGUAAAGAAGCAACGGCUAACUACGUG
rnacentral:rRNA from 1 species